UCCACUACUUGGUGAAAAGAACAACGACAUUUUCUUCAUCCAAGCCUGGGACUUGAACAUCAGCAAAAUGUCAAUCCUUGGGAAGUUUUCUGCGACUCUCCCUCCCUCAGCUGGUCUCCAUUUGACCCUUUGAAGCAGAGCUGCAAUGCUUUCAGUGAACACCAGGGGUGCCCGAGAAGGAUUUCUCUUUCUCAGAGUUUCUACCGCACCUGUGCGGCCUGUGGAGGGUUUCCGCAAUACACACAGAGACGGUGAAGAGUGGCUUAGAGGGAUUUAUCUCAGCUUUCCUGUCCUCCUCACCAUCGCUGACAGCGGUUACCUGCAAAUGACAAUGACCCAUUGUGUCUCAGCUUUUGAUUAAGGAAGGACUAGUAGAAGAAACAUUAGUAGAAGAAUGCAACUGAAUUUGUGACUGAGGUUCCUCAGUAUUCUCAUCUAUCAAACCAGCCC